rnacentral:rRNA from 1 species
UACGAAGGGGGCUAGCGUUGCUCGGAAUCACUGGGCGUAAAGGGUGCGUAGGCGGGUCUUUUAAGUCAGGGGUGAAAUCCUGGAGCUCAACUCCAGAACUGCCUUUGAUACUGAAGAUCUUGAGUUCGGGAGAGGUGAGUGGAACUGCGAGUGUAGAGGUGAAAUUCGUAGAUAUUCGCAAGAACACCAGUGGCGAAGGCGGACUCACUGGCCCGAU